CACCAGUGCUUAGCAACUCGGUCCAAGAAGCAUUUGCAUUCUUCCAAGAUAUAGAUUACAGGAUUUUUUUUUUUAUUGGUCCCCAAUGACACUACAAAUUGAAUAAUAGUUUAGUGCUUACCUGAGGUUACUCAUGCCCUCCAUAAGUGGAGGAAUGUCUCGUAGUUUAUUUUUGCUCAGAACUAGCGUGUCCAGACUUUGCAUGCGACUGAUAUUGUCUGGCAGGUACUCUAGUUCAUUUCUUGGGAGCCACAAGGUGUGAAGUUUCUCCAUUCUAAAUUGGGAUGUAAAGUUCAUACAAAAUCUUGUUUCAUUUAGUACUACGUUGACAGAAAAUAAUGAGCUGAUGUUGUUUGUUUGUUAUUUAGUAUUUUACCUGUGAAUAUCUUCUGGCAAACUUUCCAACCUGUUGCUGCCCAUGUCUAGCCACUCUAGAGAAGGAAGGUUGACCACACAAUCUGGGAUGGUGGUGAACUGGUUCAUGGAGAGGUCCAAGUGAUACAGCUUCUUUAGAUUGCUAAGCUAAGGAAAUAAGAUUAAAGUAAGCACAGGCAUUAGGUAUAUAGAGAGUUUUAACGACCAAACAUGUUGUGUAUACAUAUGUGUUCAAUGAUAUUGAUACCUGAGUAGGCAACUCAUCCAGAUUUUCGUUCAAUGAAAGUUCCAGUUUCUCCAGAUUUUCACAGCAACCAAGUUCUUCUGGUACGUAGCUUACUCUAUUAUAGCUCAAAAACAGCUCUCUUAACCGAGUUAGUUUGCCUGUUAGUUAUAAGAGCAUAUCUGAGAGUUACUUUGGCUAAAGAAAGUCAAAGUUUGUACAAAUGACACCAGUUUUUGUACUGACCGAUUUCUUUGGGAAUUUCUGUGACUGAAUUGCGAGACAGGUCCAAGACUAUGAGACUCUCAAAGCUUGAGAUGAACCGUGGGAUUGUUUUAAGUCCUAUUCGGUGUAACUGCCAUUCUUGGAUCUGGGAGAGUUGAACUAGAGCUGGAGGAAGAGUCUGCGAAAAGAGUGCAAAGAAUGAAAACCACACACUCGAUAGGAAAAAAAAAAAUCAUUAAAGCCAGUAGGCUGCUAUAUCUGCAAUACACGAGCAUUGUUUUCUAGCUCUUUUUCUUUUAGAAGUCUGGGGUGUCCAAUCCUGUUUCUGGAGGGCCACCUUUCUGUGGAGUUCAGCUUCUACCUCCAUUAAGCACACUUACCAUGCGUACCAUUCGGAAGGGCUCAUCCCUAUG